UACGAGGGGGGCGAGCGUUGUUCGGAAUUAUUGGGCGUAAAGGGUGCGUAGGCGGUUUGGUAAGUCUUAUGUGAAAUCUACAGGCUCAACUUGUAGUCUGCAUGAGAAACUGCCGGGCUUGAGUAUGGGAGAGGUGAGUGGAAUUCCCGGUGUAGUGGUGAAAUGCGUAGAGAUCGGGAGGAACACCUGUGGCGAAGGCGGCCCCCUGGGCCGGCCCUGACACUGAGACGCGAAGGCGUGGGGAGCGAACGGG
rnacentral:rRNA from 1 species